GCGGCACGUUAGUGCGAAAACUUCAAACCCCUCUCGGACGAGAGAGAGAGCAAAUCGCGAUCUUGGGUAGUAGUGAGUCUCCGAACAAGAUAGGUUUUUAACUCGUUCUAACUUCCCACGAUCUGUCGAAUGAAGCUCAAAACCUUCUUGUUUGGCUUUGAGAUUUGAUGGGAGAUACUUAAGACACUGAAUAGUGCAGUAGAAGUUUGAUAGGACUCACAUGGUCCUUUGGAGAAGAGUCAAGGCUUAUCUGCAAUUCUCAGUCUAUAGAAACCAACCGUUAAAGUACCAAAAAUAACUAAUGAAUUCUUUUCAAUCAUUAUUAGAAUUCAAGAAAAUAUUUGUUGUUACUUAUUUGCUUGAGAGUGACACUGAGGGUGUGUUUGUCACCCAUUAUUUGGGAAGAAUGUAUUAUGGAAUAGUGAUUGAUGUUGAAAUGUGUGGUUAAAAAAGAAGGAAAUGUUUUUGAUUUACGUGUAAUAUUAUUUUAAUGAAGAAUGUGUGGUUGAAAAUGAGUACCGUGGAAAAAAUAAUGGGAAAGAAUGAGAGAAAAUGAAUGACAAAUAGGGGCUGAAUGUUACUAAUUUCUAUAUGAUUGUUGAUGCAACUAUGUUUUAGAGAAUAGUAAUUAAUUACAGAAUUCUUAUCUGAAACUAAGGAUCUUUUCAUGCCAUCAACUAUAAUGAGAGAAACAAAUAACUUGAAAUAGAAGCUACUACUAGCUUUAGUAGUUAAGCUUGUGCAGUAGGUAUUUUGAUUACGUAACAUUUUUCUUCUGUGAAAUACAACUAAGUUCAAACAUUUUAGCCAACUACACAUGAAUAUGGACUUCAUCGAGUGUGUUGAAAUACUUUGACUAAGACCUAAUGGAGGUGGAACGCAAAGAUCUCUGUCAACUUCGAAAAUGGCCAAAAUUUAACCUCUUCACAAGAUGUCUGUGAUUGAUCAGAAUGUCUGCAUUCUAUUCAUGGUUAACUACAUUACUUGGUUUCUGAUCGGUAAAGCUUCACCGUUGUUCUUUCAUCCACUAGCAGUGGCUGCUUAUUUCUUCUUGUGUUUCUGUGGAAGAAGAUUCAUUUUUUAUUAUUUCCCAUGUAGCAGUGGCUAUAAUUUGUGCUGUCAGCGAUUGAUUCAUUUUCUCACAAAAUCUUUUAACUUCCCUGCUAUUACAUUUUGUGGUUAAAUUUAUCAUUCUAGCAACUAGAUUUUUUGGCUUUUUGCACACAAUGCUUUCAGAACUAGCACAUUGAUUUCUAUUCCAGUGAUAGCUUUAAGGGGUAAAAAUUAUUGGGAAGAACUAUUAUUUACUGCUCCAGCUGUAAGUUUCUGCAAACAUGGUAUUCAGUGAAUUAGCAGAAAUUGUUUAUUCUGCAACAGCACGAUUGUCAGCGCCAAAGUCUUCUGCUCUUUCGUAUAUGUGUUGUCUUGUAUUCAAUCUGGAUUUUCUUUAAGUUCCUCUACAGAUGUGUAUAGUUUCACGAAAGUUUACUAGAAGAGUUAUGAUGUGAUCUGUGCCUUCAAUUGGGAUUUGCCUGGUUUUGAUCGGUUCAUUUGUUGAUUGUCGAGGUUUCUAUUCUAUGGAACAGUUUUUAAUCUUCAUAGAGGUUAUAAUCUGAAUCAAUUUACAAUUGUACA